UCAAAAUUUGUUUUGCGUUAUUUAUAAAUUAAAUACGAAAUCUUAUUUUGCAUAUUUUUGCAUAUUUAACCGGUAAGGGCAUAUAAAUGCAUGAUUUCGCGAGUUCCUCUUGUUUUUGCUUUUUUCUCAUUUGAAUAAUAUGUUUUUCUCAUUAAUUUGUAAAAUUUCUUGAAUUUGGACGAUACAAUUUUACCGUUGUAAUUUUAUCGCGGUGGUAAUAAUAACAGGAACAUGUGUUAAACCCGGUCUAGAGUGGCAUGCAAUUAUCUCCUGUUAUUAUCGCAGGUCUAUAUCUGUGGUCAAAAGUCUAACUUGAAAUAUCUUUAAUCUUAAUCUAUUAUAUUAUGGUAGACAAACCGACGCGCGAUAGUGUUGUCGUCGUCUCGUGAGUGGUAAUACGUUGUUUGUAAUAUUUUCGUUUAAAUUUUCUAUUAGUUAACACUUAACAAGCAUAAUUUUAAAAUGCCAAAAGAAAAAAAGACGACAUCCAGUCGUUUACAAAGUUAUGUUACUGAAUUUGGAACAGAAAUAUUUUCAACAGAUAACAAAAUUUUAUUUUGCAAAGUAUGUAAUACGAAAGUUUCAAGUGAAAAACGUUUUUCUAUAACUCAGCAUAUCGCAGCCGAAAAACAUCGUAAAUCUGUUAAACGCGCUGAAGAAAAAAAGGAUAAAUCUCAACAGCUUUUAUUUCAAAAUUCUUCAACAAAAUCGUCAUUCAAAACUGAUUUAUGUAAAGCUAUGUUGAGUGCUAAUAUACCUUUCAAUAAACUGAGCAAUCCACAUUUCAAAAUCUUUUUAGAGAAAUAUACAUCGGAAGUUAUACCAGAUCAAUCAACUUUACGAAAAUCAUAUGUCGAUAAUUGUUACCAGGAAACUAUUGGAGAAAUAAGAAAUAAAGUGGCAGAGAAAAAAAUUUGGGUUUCAAUUGACGAAACGACGGACGCUGAAGGACGCUAUAUUGCCUCCGUUAUAAUCGGAACACUACUCACGGAUCGGCCAGGUGAAAUUUUUUUAUUAAAUGUCGAGCAAUUAGAAAAGGCUAACCACAGUACUAUAUGCACACUAUUUGAAGAUUCGCUUUGUUUACUUUGGCCUGGUGGCAUACAUCGUAACGACGUAUUAUUAUUUUUGAGUGACGCCGCGCCCUAUAUGGUGAAGGCAGGAGAUACGUUGAAAGUGUUGUACACAAAAAUGGUCCAUGUAACAUGCACAGCACAUGGAUUAAAUAGAGUUGCCGAAUAUAUCCGUAUUCAAUAUCCCAAAGUAGAUAAACUGGUUGCUAAUGUUAAAAAACUAUUUAAAAAGGCACCAUCUCGUAUUAUAAAAUUUAAGACUGAUGCGCCUAAUAUAGCUCUACCCCCCGAACCAAUUCUGACACGAUGGGGAACAUGGAUUUCCGCUUAAAUAUAUUAUUGUGAAAACUUCCAAAUUGUAAAAAAUAUUGUUGAAAGUUUUGAUGAAGAUGAUGCGCUUUCAAUUAGAAAUGCUCAAAAAUAUUUUAAAGCACCACAGAUUAAAGGUAACUUAGCAUUUAUAAAAUCAAACUUUGAGUGCCUUCCUACGGCUAUAACACGUCUUCAAAAACAAGGCAUGGCAUUAAUAGAAGCGAUACAGAUUAUUGAAGAUGUUUCAGCCAAAUUCAAUAAUUUAAAAUGCCAGACCGGAAUCAAAAUUAACGAGAAAUUACAGACAGUUCUUACUAAAUAUAAAGGGUUUCAAAUUGUUUGCAAUAUUUCAAAAAUAUUAAACGGAGAAGAAGAAAACGUUGGUUGUUUAGAUAUAGCUGAAAACUUAACAAGUAGUGACAUGGGAUAUUUCAAGUAUGCCCCUACCACGUCAGCUGAUGUAGAGCGUUCAUUUUCUGUGUACAAAAACCUCUUGGCGCCAAAUAGGAGAUCAUUCAAGUUUGAAAAUAUAAAGAAAUCGCUGAUUGUACAAUGCAAUACUUAUUUUGCAGGCGUCGAAGAACAAUAGAACAUUGAAGCAUUUAUUAUUAUUAUUACAAGUCCAUUUUUCAAGUCAUUUUAUAAUUAGUAAUUACAAUAUUUAUUUAAAUAAAACGUUUUUUCAUCCAGUAUAU